GAUCAUGGCUCAGGAUGAACGCUAGCGACAGGCCUAACACAUGCAAGUCGAGGGGCAGCGAAGAGGUAGCAAUACCUUUGCCGGCGACCGGCGCACGGGUGAGUAACACGUAUGCAAUCCACCUGUAACAGGGGGGAUAACCCGGAGAAAUCCGGACUAAUACCCCAUAAUAUGGGCGCUCCGCAUGGAGAGCCCAUUAAAGAGAGCAAUUUUGGUUACAGACGAGCAUGCGCU
rnacentral:rRNA from 1 species